CCCCCCCCCCCCCCCCCCCCCCCCCCCCCCCCCCCCCCCCCCCCCCCCCCCCCCCCCCCCCCCCCCCCCCCCCCCCCCCCCCACAUCGCGGCUGCUGAGGAAGCGCAGGCGGCGGCAGACCUGGGCCAGGCGGCCCAAGGCCUGCGCGUCCAGGUAGGAGCAGAUGAGGAGCAGCAGCUCCUCAGGUAAGGCCCAGAGCGGGGAGGGGGGGGAGGCGGCCCGGGAUCCCCCCUCCGCCUGGGGGGACCGGGGGCUGCCCUUCCUCCCCAUGGAGCAGCAGCUCCCGCCCCUCCUCCCCGGGAGCCGGAGCUGCUGCUGCCCGGGGGAGGCCCGGCCAUGGACGGGGCAGCCGCUCCCCAGUCACAUGGGGCCCCCCCCCCCCCCCCCCCCCCCCCCCCCCCCCCCCCCCCCCCCCCCCCCCCCCCCCCCCCCCCCCCCCCCCCCCCCCCCCCCCCCCCCCCCCCCCCCCCCCCCCCCCCGGGGAGGAGGCGGCUGCCGGCACCGGAGGGGGCACGGGCCGCCGAGCCCACCCUCGUUAGCGGAUUAAUUCAUUAACGGGAGCCGCUGGGACUCCCCCUGUGCCGCUUGCCCUCCCCCACACCCCCUCGCCACUCCACGAAAGGCUCACGGGUCUGUAUCUUCCGAUCUGGGAUUAGAAACGUCACCUGAUCCGAGUGCCCUCGCCACUCCACGAAAGGCUCACGGGUCUGUAUCUUCCGAUCUGGGAUUAGAAGCGUCACCUGAUCCGUGUGUUCAUUAAUAAUGUGAGCAAUUAAUGGUGGGGAUGGUGAUCCCAGGUAACCAGAACAUCUGCCUCACCACCUGGAGCAACACCAGCUAGGUACUGCACCCCUGCAAAGGAAGGUGAACAGCAAGGUGAUUAAUGCUCAUUAAUUAUCCUUGACCAGGGUCAGGAGUGCCUGUCACCCAUGAAGUGACAGCAGGGGUCAUCUGGUGCUGCACAGCAGUUUUCAACACUCCCAAAUUCCUGUGACACAUAAAAGAAAGGGUCUUCCCCACAUGAGAGCAGGCCUUUCUACAAUGGAUUUAGGGCUGGCUUUUCACCAGCACCCUGCCUGCAGUCCAUUCCCCCCUCCAGAGCUCCACAGAGUGGGGUCUGAAAAGUGCUCCCAGUUCACACGUGUGUGUACACAUCCACAAGGACACCUCCUCGAAGGAACAUAAUAACUGAGUCAUUGUUGCCAUCCACAGGAGCCUGGAGUACUGACAACGCAGGGGGAUUCUGGUCCAAAAUGGCAAAGUAACUCUCCACAGACAGUGGACCAGGAAAAUAUGAGUCUAGAGUUGUGUUAUUCUUUCUUAUAGUACUUUCCACUCUACAGAAGCCUGAAAUACUGGGGAAAUUUCUCCCUCAGAAUAAGACAAAAAUAGAUAAGUUAUAAGACGUUCAUCAUCUGGCUAGAAUGCUUUGCACAGGUACCACUUAGCCACCACAAUCUACAUCUCAUUUUGCAGGGUGGAGUAGGAUAAUAAAUUUCAGCAUAUAAUGAGGUUACCAUUGUAUUCAGGCCAUUUGACAGUACUUGCAUCCUAUUCCAGAAGGUCAUCUUGUCUGCCUAAUCUCAAGAUCCCAAAUACUUCUAUGAAUAAAUCACCAGGUCUGGAAGUCUCCUAUUUUAGAGGUUCAAAACUGCCAGAUAAGGAACUCUCUGGUCCAUUUACACUGAGUUUUAAUACUCCCUGGAAGUCAGGGAAGUUUCAGAAGUGGAUUUUAUUAUCAGCAUUUUUAAGGAGUGAUGUCUGAAAUAAUUAAAAAAUUCUCAAUCUGAGUUUGAGCUCAGGUGAAAUAACAGCACAUCUAGUACAGGACUUAAGUAGCCAGCUGAAAGUGAGGUAAUACAAUGAAUUUUGCUUAAGAUUAUGAAAACUUUGUGUGAAUGAAAAUGAAAGUUUUAUGUCAAUUUCAUCUCUUUCUGAUGAUAUAAAAUUUGGUUCUUUUUGUAACACUACAAUAUUGUCUGAAACAUUAAAAUUAUUAAAAGCUGAGUGACUUCUCUGUCUUAAGUUAUUGUAAAGACAUACUUAUUAUCAAGUUGGUCUUUCUCCAGUAGGAUCCCACAGAGACUGCUUAUACACCCCACACUAUUUAAUAUUUUUACUGGCAAUCUGAAAAAAAUCUGAAAUCCUUCUUAGCAAAGCUUUGUAGGAAGCACAAAGCAUGGGGCAAGAAGCAAAGGAUGCUUAUGGCUGCAUACCCCUAGGUUAAGUUUAGGUAUAAUCACAUCAUAUGUAUUUCAAUCAAGCCAAAUGUAAAGUCUCACAUCUUGGAACAAAGAAUGUAGGUCACACUGAAAGGAUGUAACUCUAUCCUGCAAAGCUGCAAUUCCGUAAAGACUUCAUUAAGAUGAAUAAUCAGCUGAAUGUGAGCUCCUCCUGCAAUGCUAUGACCAAAGGGCUGGGCUAGUGCUGUCCUGGGAAAAACACAAGAGCUGGGAGUUCUUUUACCUCUGGUUUUGACUCCGUUGUGACUGUUUUGGAAAUAAUUUGUCCAGACAACACUUCAAGAAGGAUGUUUAGAAACUAAAGGAGUUUCAAAGAAGAGUAGAAGAUAAUGAUUACUGGACUGUCAAACAUGUUUUGUAGUAAGACCCAAAAAGCUCAAUCUAUUUUAGCUUUCUAAAGAGAAGGUUAAGGUGUGAGGUGGUCAUACCUUAUGAGCACUGAAACAGGAAAAAAAAUCUGGAUCUUCCGUUUAACAGACAAAGAGAUAACAUCUCUUAACAGAAGGUGAUGGGAAACAAAUUAAUGAAUAAAGUGUGCUUUUGUAGUGAAUAAAAUCAACUGUUGAAACAGCUUACCGAGAUUUAUGGUAGAUUCACCAUUACUGGAUUUAUAAAAAACAAUACCAGUUGGGUUUGGUUUCUGGGUUUUUUUCCUUACAGAGAGAGAGAGAAAGAGAGAGAGGGAGAUGGAGGGGUUUGACCACAACUGCUAAAACUUAACCAGGAGCUGACCUGGAGAGUCUUGACUCAGAAUAUCAAACCAAGGCAGUCCAAGGGGUCUCUUCUGAUCUUAGGCUCUUUUACUCUAUAGAGGCAGCAUGUGCAUAGUGCAUGUCCCUGCACUGUGUGGCACCCAAAUUCCAGAGGAUGCUCUCCAGCCUGUGGCUGUGCUGCUUUACCAGGAAAAACUACUUGGUGCAGAUCAGAAGGAGCCUGGGUGAAAACAUGCAGUAUGACCCUCUGGGACACCAAGGUCCAAGGUAUGGGCAAGUGCAUCUGAAGAAGGGGGGCCUUAGUGCACUCCAAUUUGUAAUCCAAGGUAUAAAACACUGGGAAAUACUUGCUUAAGAUGAAAGGUGUUUAAACCCAGUAAUCUUGGAGAAGGUCAACUAUGCUCCAAGCAGGAGACACAGAGCAGUAUGAAAAAAAGAUAUUACAAUAUAUUGCUCCUAAAUGUGGCACUGUUUUCAAGUAUGGGUAAUUGUCUUAACAAUAUAGUAACAAUAGUUAUUUUUUUGCCCAAAAUGUAGAUCCAUUACUUUCUCUGAGUUGUUUUGUUAAGAGAAGUAUACCAGCAACUGCAUCUCCUUGAUGCACUUUCUUAGGCAUGGUUUUGGAUACUGCCUGCUGCAGAGCUGUCAAAGGUGUGCAUUGCAGACUAAGAAGCCACGGCCUUGGUCUUUGCAAUAAUGCCAGAGUAAGUGCUUAUGUAGGUGUCUGCAGGAGCAAGAACCAAGGAAGGUUCUGAACCAUUCCUAGAACUGUGUGUGUAGCAUGAUUAUUUCCACUGCAUUGUUCACGCUCUAAUAAAGGACUCGAAGCAGGUGCUCAGUGGAGUGUAAGCAUAAUAAUGUAUCUUUCCCAAGUCUUACAAAGAUCCCAGUCCUUUUCAUGGCUCAUGACCACUCUGAACCUCUAGAAAAAGGGGUCGGGUUCUGUGCUGAAGUAGCUGACCAUUCCAACACCAUGGCUUGCAGAGUUUGUAAACUAAAAAUCAGGGGGCUUAUAUCUGUAAAGUCUUAACAGCAUAAGUCAAUAAAAUCCAGCUUGGAGAAACACCAUUUGAAUACCUGCCUGUCUGGUUUUUUUCUGUCUU
ensembl:lncRNA